AGAGCGAACGCUGGCGGCAGGCUUAACACAUGCAAGUCGAGCGGGCGUAGCAAUACGUCAGCGGCAGACGGGUGAGUAACGCGUGGGAACGUACCUUUGGUUCGGAACAACCCAGGGAAACUUGGGCUAAUACCGGAUAAGCCCUUACGGGGAAAGAUUUAUCGCCGAAAGAUCGGCCCGCGUCUGAUUAGCUAGUUGGUGAGGUAAUGGCUCACCAAGGCGACGAUCAGUAGCUGGUCUGAGAGGAUGAUCAGCCACAUUGGGACUGAGACACGGCCCAAACUCCUACGGGAGGCAGCAGUGGGGAAUAUUGGACAAUGGGCGCAAGCCUGAUCCAGCCAUGCCGCGUGAGUGAUGAAGGCCCUAGGGUUGUAAAGCUCUUUUGUGCGGGAAGAUAAUGACGGUACCGCAAGAAUAAGCCCCGGCUAACUUCGCGCCAGCAGCCGC
rnacentral:rRNA from 1 species